rnacentral:rRNA from 1 species
UACGAAGGGGGCUAGCGUUGCUCGGAAUCACUGGGCGUAAAGGGUGCGUAGGCGGGUCUUUAAGUCAGGGGUGAAAUCCUGGAGCUCAACUCCAGAACUGCCUUUGAUACUGAAGAUCUUGAGUGCGGGAGAGGUGAGUGGAACUGCGAGUGUAGAGGUGAAAUUCGUAGAUAUUCGCAAGAACACCAGUGGCGAAGGCGGACUCACUGGCCCGAUACUGACGCUGAGGCACGAAAGCGUGGGGAGCAACAGGG